ACCUGCUUGGCUCAGUCGGAGGAACAUGAGACUCUAGAUCUCAGGGUUGUGAGUUCGAGCCCCAUGUCAGGUG
rnacentral:tRNA from 1 species